AGGAUAGCGGGAACAGCAGUGUUCCCACGCUGAAGGAACCACCAACGUGGAGCUGGACUUCACCGUGGUCACCACAGGGAAUAGAACCAACGACUCGUUUUCAGAACUACCCAAUAUCCAUCAAAACAGUUUUCAUGUGGUGCUGAUUCUGGUGCUGAUUCUGGUGCUGGCUACAGGAGUGGUGCUGUUUCUGCAGAUGAUCGUCUCUCAGAGAAGAAGGGAGAACGUCUGUCCGGAGCUGCGUUUGCAUCAUUUACCCAGCAGGAGGCGACAGACACCAAACAGCAGCCCUCCACAGACGGUGGUGGAGGACAUCGAGCCGUACGACGUGUUCCAGCAGAAGGAGAACGUUCUGUAUUUAUCCUCUAGAGCCCACAGUUGCAGCACCAUCAGCAGCGUCCUCACCUGACAGCCGUACAUCACACACAGAUGACUUUCUCUGUUGAAGAAGUUCGGUGUGUUUCUGUUUGAAUGACAAACCUGAGCAGAAUAAAUUCUAAUGAAAAAGGUG